UCUUGCUUUAGGAAGCGGAAGACUAAUGACCGAAGCUUCAAGACUUUGACAUGUGUGAAAACAUGAAAUGACCCUUGGCUCUUAUUGUUCUUGCUGGUGUGGUAUGUUCACGGCUGAAAAGAUGGUCAGAAGGGGAAAGGAGGAAGUGAGAAGAAAGAAACAGGGAAAUGGCUGGAGUGCGAUGGCAUGAUCUUGGCUCACGGCAAACUCCGCCUCCCUGGUUCAAGUGAUUCUCCUGCCUCAGCCUCCCGAGUAGCCGGGAUUACAGGCAUGUGCCACCAUGCCCCGUUGGCCAGGCUGGUCUCGAACACCUUACCUCAGGUGAUCCUCCCACCUUUGGGAUUACAGCAGGCUGAGGAAUUACCAAGGAGGCAGGAGGUGGAGCAAAACACACCAAGCCUGGUGCCAAUCAUUGACAAUAUUAUGACCCUGCAUGUGAUGGAUCAGCUGACACCAUCCAGAUCGGUAAACUGGUUCAUCUGAUCUUGUGCCCUCCACCCAGGAACUGACUCAGCGCAAGAAGACAGCUUCGACUCCUUGUGAUUUCAUCCCUAACCAAUCAGCACUCCUGGCUCACUGGCUUCCCCCAACCCACCAAAUUGUCCUUAAAAACUCUGCUCUCCAAACGCUGGGGGAGACUGAUUUGAGUAAUAAUAAAACCCUGGUCUCCUGCA
rnacentral:lncRNA from 1 species